rnacentral:lncRNA from 1 species
CUCCUUCCGUCUAUGGCGACGGCGACCUCCGGCGUCAGCAGGCUCAGCGCAGCGGCGGGUAACAACGACGGCGACGUCGGCCUCCAAGACCCCAUCCCGGCCUCUGUUGGAAUAUGUAGGUACCCACUCCUUCCCCUUCCCCUUCACUUGCUGCCCGCUCUCUUCAAAUCUGUUUCUGCAUCCUCUGUUAGAACUUGUUUGCUCUCUGUUUUUUGGAGAUGUGCUAGUCUGUAUGAAUGUAUAAUUGGUACGUAGCUCAAAACGAAACUUGCAAAUGGUUCAAUACAUUUACAGGCAGCACCGAGAUGGCAUGGUUGAACGCAAAAAGCAAAUGCCAUGACUGACGAAACUGAAAAAAUUGAACACUUCCUUCCUCGUCCUGGGUGAAAACCAUGUGACUGCACAACCGUGCUUUGCUAGUACAUGCAGGUUCAGUGAGUUUGGAACCGAUGGAGGACAACAGCAAAGUCUGAAGCCAAAGUUCAACCUCUUUGUCAAGCAGGUGUCCGCCAGCAUUGGGAUGGCAGAGCCACACAUUGAUGUAUGGAUAUUUUCUGGUUGCUUACCCCGUUCUACAUCAUUGUUUUUUGUUUAAGGAUCCAUUCACCUAGUUCCUAGUUUUGAUGGAUUUUGUUCUGUUUGUUUACAAAUCAAGUCUUUCAUUGCCUUUACCGUGUUUCUUAAAGCCUUUGGUGGUCUGCUUUUCAUCAUCAGCAGCUCGUUUGGAGCAUUCGUACUGGUGUGUACUCUUCUUCUGAAUGCACUGUAUCAAGAAUUAUUUCAUGUUAAGGGGGUAUCAAGAUGCAUACUAUUGUGGCUGCCAUUAAUGUAGACUUGCAGCACCAUGUCUUCUCAAACUAAUAAAAAGGAAGUAUUGUUGCCAUGCCAUUUAGGUAGUUUUAACAAUUUUAGUGUGUCCAUUUUACUGGCUGUAAAAUGCCAAAUCUGGCAUUAUUGCUGCUUCGAUGUUUGAUCUUCAUACAUUUUGCUUCUGCAAUAUCCUGUUGUAGCAUCUGACAGUGGAAUGCUUCAACAACAACCUUCCUGAAAGAUUCCAAAUGUGGUGGCAGGUUAUUCUUAUUUUUUAACCACUUGAUAGGCUCAUGUCUGUUGAGUUUGUGCAACUGAUUUGCUACAGUCCAAAUUUACGUGUUUAUGCUUAUAUUUAUUGUUUGCAUUCUAUAUGUGACAAUGCAACAGUUCUUUGAGGCAUCAAUCCAUGAUAACUGGGCAUAUCGGUUUAUGCUUAGAUAUAAAGAAACCAAAUAUAUAUUCUGUCUUAUUAUACGGAACCAAUUGUAUUUAAUCCAUGUUAAAAUGAUUAUGCAUUUAUCAUGUUGGAACUUCUUUGUCAAGCAGGUCUCCGCCAACAUUGGGAAUUUGGGAUGGCAGUGCCACACAUUGAUGUAUGGAUACUUUUUGGUCGCUUGCCCCGUUGUACAUCAUUGUUAGAGCACUAUAUUUUAUUGUUAACCAUGCUGUGGUCCAAACUCCUUUUUAUUCUGCUCAUAUGAUAUUGCUCAUCUUUUGUUUUCUGUUCGAUGCCUCCUGUAUUUAGAGUAGAAAUAUUCUUAAUUUAGUGUUUCUUGAACAUGGCCAGGGCAAUGGAUAAAAUCUACUCUGGAUAGUUGACAGAGAGAGUACAUGCUAAGUUGACUUUUUUCCUGCGGAUUUGCUUAUCCUGAAGAUGCUUGCAAGGAUGCAGAGGGAGCGGAUCAUUUGGAGAGAUAGGAUGCCACUGUUUGGUGUUUUUAUGCAUUUUGGUUUGCUUGUAACUGUGUUUGCACUAGCUGGGAGUAAGUGACUUGGCAAGAAGUGUAGGUGUUUUAAUUGAAGGCAUGAAAAGCCAUGACAAUAUGUAUGCUCUUACAGGAUGUGCUCUAAUGCCGCUGGUUUAUUAUAAAUCUUGGAUUAGUAAUGAUGUGUAAUGCUGCUGGUUUAUUACAAAUAUGUGUUUGUUUUAGUUGGAAUUGUAUGCAUAGAAUGGAAUUGGUGGAUUUUAUUUUUUUUAAUUCCUAAUUAGUU